GAUGAACGCUGGCGGCGUGCCUAAUACAUGCAAGUCGAGCGAACAGACGAGGAGCUUGCUCCUCUGACGUUAGCGGCGGACGGGUGAGUAACACGUGGAUAACCUACCUAUAAGACUGGGAUAACUUCGGGAAACCGGAGCUAAUACCGGAUAAUAUAUUGAACCGCAUGGUUCAAUAGUGAAAUACGGUUUUGCUGUCUCGUAUAGAUGGAUCCGCGCCGCAUUAGCUAGUUGGUAAGGUAACGGCUUACCAAGGGGACGAUGCGUGGCCGACCUGAGAGGGUGAUCGGCCACACUGGAACUGAGACACGGUCCAGACUCCUACGGGAGGCAGCAGUAGGGAAUCUUCCGCAAUGGGCGAAAGCCUGACGGAGCAACGCCGCGUGAGUGAUGAAGGUCUUCGGAUCGUAAAACUCUGUUAUUAGGGAAGAACAAAUGUGUAAGUAACUAUGCACGUCUUGACGGUACCUAAUCAGAAAGCCACGGCUAACUACGUG
rnacentral:rRNA from 1 species